AGGAGACCGAGGGGUCGGCCCUGCGCCGGCAGGAGCCGAGAGCGACCCUCACCCGGCUUCGGACACGAGCAUCCAGUAGGAGAGCGGGGCUCCCGUCCGUGCCGCUCCUGCGCGACCACCUCCCCUGCCCAGAAUCUGCCCCGUUCUCCCUCUCCUCUCAUCCCUCUAGCUCCUACAGCGCACCCGAGAGGCCCCUGAAGAAAGCCCGCUGAGGGGUGGGGAGACGGAGAGACGGAUGGGCGGACAGAUGGACGGGCAGAUGGAGGGAUGGAGGAUGGAUGGACAUAUGGACAGACAGACCAAUGGAUGGGCAGAAGGAUGGACAGGCAGGUGGAGGGGAGGGUGGAGGAUGGAUGGAGGGAUGGACAGAUGGACAGAUAAACAGGCAGAUGGAUGGAUGGAGGAUGGGUGCAGAGCUGGACAGAUGGAGGGAUGGAUGGAUGGACAGAUGGACGGAUGGAUGGGCAGGCAGAUAAAUGGAUGAAUGGGCAGAUAGACAGAAAGAUGCCUGGACAGAGGGAUAGACUGUGAACUGGACCACAUGUGCCUUUUGACCAGAGAGAAAGGAAUGGUCAACUAAAGCCUGGCAAACAAGCGUGUCGUGAGACCCGAGGGUCGGUUUCAGAGAAGCCGGGGCAGGGGACACCGAUGCAAAGUGUCUGCAUGAGAACCAGCGCAUGGGAAAAACUGCACAACUCCGACCCCCGAUCCUGAGACCAGGGAGCCCGACCGGGCCAGAAAAGGCCCCUUUUGGGCCCCAGCAACAGGAUGACUGGCUGCCCGACUGGGAGUCUGUGCUGGGAAGGGUCUGUCGUUUUUUUCUAUAAAACAGGGAAUGGGGGAAAAAUACAAAUAACUAAAUAAAUAAAACGGGGGGUGGGGGUGGGGUGGGAUGAAGAGGUAAAAUAAGCAGCUUUUGCUGGAAGAGCAGAAGGCCACGGAACCCGAGCACAGUACUGGUGACUGAUCGAGGGGCUGCUGGGCCCUGGCAGUGGCUCCCGGAAACAAGGGGAGGGGAAGCUGAGCAGGAAAACAAAGGUCCCAAGGUCCUGGCCCGGGGCCGAGGGACAUUGUGGUGCGAGAACACCCCGGGCCCCACGGUGGAGGGCCUUGAGUGCCGAGCUCCCGAGCUCAGCAUCGCCAGGGAAGGCUCACGCAGACGGGUCUGAGAUGGACUGCAGACGAGGAAGAGGAAGGGGCGGGGCGGGAGGUGACUGGGGCGCGGCAUGGGGAGGGGGCAGCCAAAGAAAUGGGCCAGAGGGGCGCAGGGAGGGGGCCGGGGGCUCGCUCUGAUCUCCGCGUCUGGGGGAUGACGUUCGCAGUAGCCUUGGGCAGACCAAGCUCAGGGGCCAGGAGGGAGAAGGGGAACAGAGCCGGGCACGGGGCCGAGGGGGCAGGAGCAAGCACAGAGGGAGAGGGCGGGGGGUUCAGGCCAGGGCCAAGGUGGCCACGAGGGCCACGAAGCGGCGAAAGCGCCGGACAAGGGGAGGCUCAGAGAGAGGGUCUGACACCCCGGAGCCACCCUUGGGCCGGAUCGCCAGGGAACCAGGGCUCCGGAGGAAAGAAUGAGAUGGAAACAAGCAAAAGGAAGCUUCCUGAGAAACAGAAUCCUGGGACCCAGCAGAGGCUGAACAGAACCGAGAGCCCCCAGGAGGCAACAAGUGAACAAACUCCCGGAGGCUGCGUCCCAAUCAAUCACUGCCAGAGACCAUGUCCUUGGGGGACAUGCCAGAGACCAUGUCCUUGGAAUCAAAGAGCUAAAGAAGAAUGUAAUCGCCUGCACAUAAAUUCUGAAGCUACAACCUUAUCGUAAACAAACUAUACACCCUAAACUCCUGAGACAAGAUGAUGUGUGUCCCAGAAAAUUGGCCCUAUCAGCCCAGGUGCAAGAUAACAAUUAGGCUCCAGGAUGUCUGCCACACAUCUGGUGUGACAUUCUUUACUUUGCAACCCCCCAUUCAGAAAUGUAUUUAACUAGACCCUCUUCACUCAUUAAACUGAGACUUUGUUUCACCCCAA